CGUCACGACAGUAUGAAACAGUGGUAUGAGUUGGGAGGAUUACGUCAACAGAUCGACAAGUUCGAGUACUUUCCCGAACCUCAGAGCUCCGAACCUCAGACUCCGAACCUCAGACUCCGAACCCUUGCCAACUUAACUCCGACUCAAGUCCAGUCCUAAAUCGAUCUCCAACUCGACCUCCAACUCGACCUCCAACUCGACCUCCAACUCGACCUCCAACUCCGAUGACCAAAUCCAAGACUUGGUCGCGAUCGGAGUUUGGAGUUUGGCGCAAGACCGACUGUGGUUCUCCCGGAAACUAGCAAUCUAAUGACUAAUGACUCAUGACUCAAACCAUCCCGGCUGGUGCGCAGACAUCCGAGAGCUCUAUCGCUACAAGUACUUGCUUUGCUCUCACUAAAUGUCUCACACUCUAUCUUCGUCGGCCAGCAUGUGAAGGCAUCAAAUCGGAGGUGGGGUUUCAGAGGAUUACAGACGGUGUCAGAGGACUACAGACAAUUGUUAUCGUUCACUUGGUGGUUCAGAUGACGAUUCGACCCCUGUCAGACACGAGUAUUUGUAAUAGCUUUCCACGGGAUUCCCUUACCGACGACCAUUAUUCCAUGCCGUUGAUGAAAAUGUUCAUGAUCAGAUCGAAACAUAUGCUCGUGACGCGGUAAAAGAAUAUCUAUGACAUGCCGUCUUGUGCGCACCACCCCGAGAUGGAAGAGGUACUGUAGAGCCGAUGAUCGGCAUCCUUUCAGACCAGGAGAACUGCUAUGAGUACCUGAGCAUAAGUGAAUGGACCUGACACGAGUCUGGGGAACGCUGGUGUUUGAGGUCCUAAAUACCGAAGCAAGGGCGCCUUCAGAACGGUCGUAUUCUCGACAUUUGCCCCCAAGGGGUCUCCAAGAAUACGGGUUGUGACUUCAUAGACAUUUGGAAUAGAGCUACCAGAAGCUAUCUCUUCAUAAAA
rnacentral:misc_RNA from 1 species